CCUACGGGUGGCAGCAGUGGGGGAUAUUGGGCAAUGGGCGCAAGCCUGAUCCAGCGACGCCGCGUGAAUGAAGAAGGACCUCGGGUUGUAAACCUCUUUCAGCAGGGACGAAAGAAAUGACGGUACUUGAUGAGUAAGCCACGGCUAACUACGUGCCAGCAGCCGCGGUAAUACGUGGGGGGCAAGCGUUAUCCGGAAUUACUGGGUGUAAAGGGCGGGUAGGCGGGACUGCAAGUCAGAUGUGAAAGCCAGGGGCUCAACCCCUGGCCUGCAUUUGAAACUGUUGAACUUGAGUGUUGGAGAGGUAGGCGGAAUUCCGGGUGUAGCGGUGAAAUGCGUAGAUAUACGGAGGAACACCAGUGGCGAAGGCGGCCUGCUGGACAAUAACUGACGCUGAGGCGCGAAAGCGUGGGGAGCAAACAGGAUUAGAUACCCGUGUAGUC
rnacentral:rRNA from 1 species